rnacentral:rRNA from 1 species
AGAUCCGCGACACAUAAUUCCAAGUGCGGGCGGGAGGAAGGCACCUGGGUUGUAAACCUCUCUCUCAGGGAAUAAAAAAAUGAAGGUACCUGAGGAAUAAGCAUCGGCUAACUCCGUGCCAGCAGCCGCGGUAAUACGGAGGAUGCAAGCGUUAUCCGGAAUGAUUGGGCGUAAAGCGUCCGCAGGUGGCACUGUAAGUCUGCUGUUAAAGAGCAAGGCUCAACCUUGUAAAGGCAGUGGAAACUACAGAGCUAGAGUACGUUCGGGGCAGAGGGAAUUCCUGGUGUAGCGGUGAAAUGCGUAGAGAUCAGGAAGAACACCGGUGGCGAAAGCGCUCUGCUAGGCCGUAACUGACACUGAGGGACGAAAGCUAGGGGGAGCGAAUGGGAUUAAUCC